CUUGCGGACACUCUUUCAUCGAUCGUAUCGAGGUUGUUCUCGGGAGACCAAACGGAGGAGGAUGAUGGCGAGGAGGAGGAAUGACAUUUCGAUCCAUCCGAUGGAUGUGCAGGUUCAAUUCUGGCGAUAAUACCAACUGAGCGUGUAUGGCUGAGGAUGGAAGUUUGCAUUCUGGCCGCACUAGUCAAUCUUUUCUGAUCAUUUAAAUCAGCUAAGGGCCAAGGCUCAAUUUGGAUUCUUUCCAGCUGGGAAUGUCCAACCUGAUAUGCAUUCUGUGAGAGUCACAGAAUAAGAUGCGUGGAAUUCCCUAUGAUUGGCAAGCUGAUGCAUCAAAUUUGUCUUCUGCAGACUGUAGGAGUCAAAUCCUUGUUUGCUCUGAAGUCACAAAGGACACAUCUGCUCAUUCUUCAUAGCAGUGAUGCUCAUAGCUUCAUGAAUCAUGGUGUCCCUGCACCAGUCAUGCUCACCAGAUUGUUGAUAACAAGCAGUCAUAUGAAAAAGAUUGGCAUCUUUGUUAUCACAUACUUGUUUGCUAAUGAUUUAUGACAGUACUUCGAGUUUUGUCAUCUAUUUAACACCACUUUAUUAAUAUAAUUAGCAUAAUCUAGUUGCUAUCUCCAUUUUAAGGAUUGGAAGUUCAAGUUAGAGACAGUUCUUUUGUUGCAGGAAAAGUAAAGGAAUAAGGCUGACAUUUGAUCAUCUUUCUUUUGAUUCUUUUCUUGUUAGUGUACAUGUAGCUGGAGAAUACAUAAUGCACAAGAGUUCUAUCUUUGGUUAAUCUUCUUCUUACCCAGUUUCAUUAGUGUACAUGUAGCUAUCAGAUGAACAAACAAAAAAUUGACAGUAAAAACUCAUGUCUUUAGAACUACAUACAGUUUGUGUGAUGACUUUUGUGGACAUCCAUGUUGACUGCCAUAGGAAUUGAUAGAUUUUGCAUCUCACUGUUACCAUGGCACAUGAACAAGGAAGAUUCAGCAUACACAAGGUAGAAAUUCUGGAGACAAGUGAUUGCAAAGCCAUGAAAGCAAGGAUAUAUAAGAAUAAAGUGAAAGACACUGGUUACUACAAGCUUUUGUUUUUGACGCUCCACAGAAUAUGCAAGGAUGAAGAGCUGAUAGAAUUUGUAUAUCAUCAGCCCUAGAUGAACGAGAAAAGAAGUAUAAGAUGCUCAAAGCCCAGAGAUACAGAGUGGAACCUCUUGCCAUGGAUGUCUGAAGCUUGCAACUCCUGCCGCAGUUGCUGGUUCUGGUACAAAGAACUCACAGUGUUCAU